UUUUUUUCCCCGAUGGCUACAGGAUCCAUCAGAUCACGGAGGAAAGGAGUCUGCAAGGGGUCAGCCCUGCACAUGGAUGCUACCUGCUGAGAGUGAGGGUUUCUUUGUCCCAUCCGAGGCAGAUGCCACCGGUCCAUGGUCCCCAGCUUUGGGUGCCCAGGGUCCCAUCCUGGCUGUGCAGCAUCUCCUCCUGCAAUAAGGAUGCCACCAGCCUUGCCGAAGCAAGAGCAGCCCUUCAGGCACUAACCAGGCAGCUCAAACAGCUGAGAGUCCUGAACCCUGGUGCUAAGGUGGGCUGGGAAGCCCCUGGGUCUCUCGGCCAUCCAUCCCCGUGGGGAGGCUUCGUGCCCGUCACACAGCUCCGGAGGGCUCUGCUGGCAUCCCCUGGGCUUUUCCUUGCUGAUGAAGACCACAAGGAGCCAGAGGAAGGGACUUACAGCCCAGUUGUACCAGCAGCCUCCGUUGGUGAAUGAGCCCGUGCUGGUCGCCAUCAUCUCCUUCCCCAGCCC